rnacentral:rRNA from 1 species
GAGACUCUGUGCGCGUGCAUAUCAAUAAGCGGAGGAAAAGAAACUAACAAGGAUUCCCUUAGUAACGGCGAGUGAAGCGGGAAGAGCUCAAAUUUGAAAUCUUCAAGGUUCUACCUUUACGAAUUGUAGUUUAUAAGAAGUGUUUUCUGUUAGUGAAGUUGGCUAAAAGUUCUUUGGAAUAGGACAUCAUAGAGGGUGAGAAUCCCGUAUUUGAUCAUAUCCUCCUAGCUGUUGUGAUACACUUUCAACGAGUCGGAUUGUUUGGGAAUGCAGUCCAAAAUGGGUGGUAAAUUUCAUCUAAAGCUAAAUAUUGGCGAGAGACCGAUAGCGAACAAGUACCGUGAGGGAAAGAUGAAAAGAACUUUGAAAAGAGAGUUAAACAGUACGUGAAAUUGUCAAAAGGGAAGCGUUUGACACCAGUGUUGUUUUUCCGAAAAUCAAUUACGAAUGUUUUAGUUUUUGAGGAGUUAUGACUUCAUCGGCUUGCUCCUUUCUUUAUGAAACUUUCUUAAUGCACUUUUCGGUUAACAAGUCAACAUCAAUUUCUUUUGUUGUAAAAGGGUAUGAGGAAGGUGGCUUUCUUUUCGGAGAAAGUGUUUAUAGCCUUGUGCCUCUGCAAUCGGAGAGAUUGAGGUCUGCAGCGUAGAUCCUUCGGGGUUAGAUACAUUUGUGCUAAGUUGUAGCUUUUCAUAGACAACUUGUUGACUAUGUUUAGUCUUGUAGCUUACUCGCUUAUGCUAUUUUACCUACGCUUAGGAUGUUGACAGCAGUAUAGACUGU